rnacentral:rRNA from 1 species
UGGGGAAUAUUGGACAAUGGGCGAAAGCCUGAUCCAGCCAUGCCGCGUGUGUGAAGAAGGUCUUCGGAUUGUAAAGCACUUUAAGUUGGGAGGAAGGGCAUUAACCUAAUACGUUAGUGUUUUGACGUUACCGACAGAAUAAGCACCGGCUAACUCUGUGCCAGCAGCCGCGGUAAUACAGAGGGGGCAAGCGUUAAUCGGAAUUACUGGGCGUAAAGCGCGCGUAGGUGGUUUGUUAAGUUGGAUGUGAAAUCCCCGGGCUCAACCUGGGAACUGCAUUCAAAACUGACUGACUAGAGUAUGGUAGAGGGUGGUGGAAUUUCCUGUGUAGCGGUGAAAUGCGUAGAUAUAGGAAGGAACACCAGUGGCGAAGGCGACCACCUGGACUAAUACUGACACUUAGGUGCGAAAGCGUGGGGAGCAAACA